GAUGAAGAACGUAGCGAAAUGCGAUAAGUAAUAUGAAUUGCAGAAUUCAGUGAAUCAUCGAAUCUUUGAACGCACAUUGCGCCCGCCAGUAUUCUGGCGGGCAUGCCUGUUCGAGCGUCAUUACAACCCUCAGGCCCCCGGGCCUGGCGUUGGGGAUCGGCGGAGCCCCCCGUGGGCACACGCCGUCCCCCAAAUGCAGUGGCGGUCCCGCCGCAGCUUCCAUCGCGUAGUAGCUAACACCUCGCGACUGGAGAGCGGCGCGGCCACGCCGUAAAACACCCAACUCUUCUGAAGUUGACCUCGAAUCAGGUAGGAAUACCCGCUGAACUUAAGCAUAUCAAUAAGCGGAGGGA
rnacentral:misc_RNA from 1 species